CAAGACUAAAACUCGUCAUUAAUACACUAUACAUAGACUGUGUUUUUCCAAUGGGUAAUUUUUAUAGAACCCCCUUGAUCUAGUGUUAUACAGUUCUGUUUGUCUUUAGUAAGGUUCUAAGGGAACUCUAGUGGAAGAAAGUUGUCAUAGAAUAAUAAGGAUAAGAAGAAUGGCCACCCCAUUAUCAACCGUUACCAACAAUACCUACAACACAAUGUAUAAUAUACAUGGUGAUUGUCAAGCUGUACAUAUUGGAACAUCAAACACAAUAAAUGAAACUACUAACCAGACCGACAGUGAUGAUUGCACAUCCGAUUUGGAAGAUUUGAAAUUCCAGAUGAAUCGGAUAAAGGAACAAUUUGAACGAAAAGAUGAGGAAAUAGCUGAAUUGAAAAAUAGGGUUGCUGACCUGGAAGUAUUUAAGACGAAAGUAGAACAAUCCGAAGUCAAGACAAACACCAACACUAAUACUAGACGUUAUAUCAGGGAUACGAGUAAUGAUAUUAUUCUAAAGUUAGUUGACAUUUCGCUAGGUAAAGAUAUGGUUACUAUAACUGUCAGUAAGAAAGUCAGUUUUAAUGAUUUAAUGAAGUUGAUAGAAGAGAAGGAGAAUAAGAAGAUUAGUAGGAUUGAUAUAAUAGGAUAUAGAGAUGGUAGCGGGACAUGGAUCUACGGCAGUCUACACAACAAGAACGACUAUAGCCUGGAACAACUUGGUGUUGUAGACCAGGACAAGGUUCUGUGCUAUAGUAAAAUAUAGAGAUUAUAUUGAUAUGAUGUAUUUAUGGUCUCCUUUAUAUUGAACAAUGAGGUGUUUGGGGAGGGGGGGGUAGAUAUUACUUAUAGUAAAAUAUAAUGGUCGAACCAGAACGAGGUUAGGUAUUAUUAUCUUAUUGUCUCUUGAUUAGGUUGUGAGGGUUGAAUAAAGUAAAAUGUUUGAGUGGUGAUGUGGUGUGGGUGCUAAGUUAGUGAAGAGAUUUAUCAACCACAUCAGCACCCUAGUAUUUAACCAAGUAUCUUAUACCCCCCCCCCCCCAACCCCCAUGAUUGAUAUAUUGAAUCUUACUCUAAGUAAUAUCUAACCUGUCCCAACUGUCCACCUGUCCCACCUGUUAGUAUUUAACCAAGUAUCUUACCCCCCCCCCCAACCCCCAUGAUUGAUAUAUUGAAUCUUACUCUAAGUAAUAUCUUACCUGUCCCACCUGUCUCACCUGUUCCACCUGAUUGAUAUAUUGAAUCUUACUCUAAGUAAUAUCUAACAUCCUAAUAUAAAACUAGCUUACUACUGUAAAUAAAGCUGUAAUUCAAUAGUCACGAUUAUCAGGUGAUAUGUAGUCGUGAUCAUGUGAUAACUAACUGACAUGUAUAUAAUAUAAUAUUAUAUUAGUGAAACAAUGUUUUAUAUUUUUUGUUCUAAUUUUGUUUCAAUAAAAUAUUUUAUAACUAAA